rnacentral:lncRNA from 1 species
AUGAAGUUGGCUGUCCCGUCGGGUGUACGGCGGAGGGGGGGCUGGCGUGUGAAGUUGAGUUGCGGCUCGAGACUACCCCCGACGUGGGGCAAUGCUCCCACCGAGGUCCUCCCAGUGGUUGAGUCCGGCCUGGCCUACCGGACCUGCUCGAGCUCCGUCCGCCGCGGCUCCGCUCGGCUCCCAGCGCCGCCUCCUGCCGACCCGCCCGCGGCGGCGGCGCUUCUGUGGGUGGGGGAAGGCAGGACUGACGCAGAGUGCGAGGCUCGGGGAAGACGGACACUAACAACCCAUUACUUGCGUGGUCAAGUGCUACAAGAAAUACAAGGGCCGCGGAAGGGCUCAACUGAGAGACCUGACUUGAUGCACGUGGUGAGGGCAGCAGGGAGCGGGAAAGGCUUUUCUGAGACCUCCAUGUUUUCAUUGGUAACUGAAGGCUGCAAGGGAGCCAAGAGAGCCUUCUAGAAAGAGGGAACAGAUGGGAUGUACCCCUACGGUAAGAGAACAUGAUUCCUUCUCUCUGAGACCUGAAGGAUUCCAAUAAGAAAAGAACAAAAGCAUCUUUUUCCUGGCUUUGCGCAGAGUUGGGAAGAAGUGUGGUUGGCUAGGCCUGUUAGUAGUACAUCAUGGGAACAGAGCUUCAGACCCCCUCCCCCUGGAAAUCUUCAGGAUUUAGGUUUUCUGGGUCACCUGAUGUUGGAGAGGGAGACAUCACUUAUCUCCCUUUCAGGAUUACUUCUCCAAACAUGUAAACGUUAAUUAAAGUGUUUUGAAAAUAGGCCUAUUAAGUACCAAUUGUUAGUUCUGCUUGUUACCUUGAGUGCCCUAAUUACAGGGCUUGUGUAUCCGAUUAUGGUAUAUGAUCAGCUACAAUCUGAAGCGGAGGUUCUAAGAGUAGAAGGAAACCAAUUAAAGUCCGACUUUGCAGAAGGUUGCUGCUGUUUUCACAGGCCAGACCUCCUUCACUCCUCACCAGUGCCAUGCAGUCCGGGCAGUUUCGUCUGUUAAUGACAGAGAAGUGAGGCAAUCGUUAAUACAAGUUAGUUACAGACUCCCUGCCCCUCACAGGAACUGACUCACGUAUUUUCAGAUGAAACCAUGGAAUUCUAGAGAGAGCCAGAAACUCAGAAACCUGUUUCCUUACCAGGAAAAUGUCAUCAUCUCAUGUGGGUUUUUAUUAACGAUGAACCACAAAACAUGCGGUUGUCUUGGUUUUUAUGAAUUCCUUUUAAGCAUUUUCUCUGAAGCAUCCUGGCCAUCAGAAUUGGUGUUGGAGGUUAAGCUUAGUCCUGUCGACUUUUGAACUGGGGGAACUAGUGCUUUCAAGCUUAUCAUCAAAUGGUUAAGCCUUGGUUCAUUCCUUAUUGCUCAAGAAAAGUCACCAGGGUCAGGAGAAGUAGGAGGGACAGUCAUAUUCGAAAGAGGAAUUCUCUGUCAGGCAGUUUCCUUGCAGCAACUUAGAAUUUCUAUUAGGUCAGUGCAAAAGUAAUUGCGGUUCGUGCAAUUAUUUUUAAUCUUUUAAACCGCAAUUACUUUUGCACCAACCUAACAGAUAAACACACCUCCUUACAGCUCCCAUCUGUAUUCUUUAGCUGCUCGAAUUCUCAGGAACUCAGGACAAAAUCUCCUGAAGCGUACAGUCUCCAUGUGUUGGCCCUCCCGCUCGGGUUGGAAAUGGGUCGCGCUCCCAAAGGGCAGUGAGCACCUACCUCCAGAUCCUGAGGAGCCUGUUUGAGGAAAACCCAGGAUUCCCGGGGAGGGUCCCCAUGCCUGGCCCGGCCCUGCUGCUCACUCACUGCAUGUGCCCGGGUCCUCCCGGCCUGCCCAUCUGUUAAAGGCAGUACAGGAUUCGUUCUCCUAAAUCUGACCAAUCAGAAUCCUCCCGUAGUGGGGCUUUUUCACUUUCCGGGAUUUCUUGUAGAAGUAAGUAGUAAAGAAACAGGCUAACGUUGUUGCGUAAGUAAAAGAAAAGGGAAACCCCUAAUGUCCAUCAGCAGAAGAAUACAUGAGAUACCUUCAGACAGUGUGGGCUGAAUUGCAGUAGUGAGAACCCAUGAACUGGAGCUGUGUGUAACCACAUGGAUGAACCUUACCGUGUUUCCCCGAAAAUAAGACCUAGCCAGACCAUCAGCUCUAAUGCAUCUUUUGGAGCAAAAAUUAAUAUAAUCUGCCCUGGUCCGGGAGGACCCGGUAUUUAUAUUAUAUUAUAUUAUAUUAUAUUAUAUUAUAUUAUACCUGGUCUUAUAUUAAAAUAAGACCCGGUCUUAUAUUAAUUUUUGUUUCAAAAGACGCCUUAGAGCUGAUAGUCCAGCUAGGUCUUAUUUUUGGGGAAACAGUACAAAUAUGGGCAAAAAGAAGUUGCAGAAAGGCAAUACCUUUUAUAAAGUUCUUUUAAAGUUGCUAAGCAAUACUAUAUAAUGUGAAAUGUAAAGACGUGUGAGAAAGAUAUAUUCAGGAUAGCAGUUCCUUCUAGGAGAGAGGAAGAGGAAUUCGAUUUGGAAAAGGUACAGUGGGGGUUUCAACUGUAUAUAUAAUUUAUUCCCUAAGGUCCAUUGUGAAUGUAUGGCUGUUAAUUAUUCUCUAUAUCUUUUUGUGUAUCUGAGGUAUUUCAUAAUGAAAAUAAAAAUAACAGGAAUUUAAUUUAUAAAAAUACAGUUAGCUUUAUGGAACAUACUUCGGUCAGGAACUUGGCCAAGUCCUCUGAAAUGAAAGCUGAUGUUUCAGCGUGCAAACCCAGAGGGGCCACAGAUCUUCAGCCAUCACAAAGACUUCCAGUUAUACUUACUACACAGUUCUCAUGUGCACAAGGCAGUGAACUGACAGUUUUGCAAAAUAUUUUCAACGAGGCUAUGCUGAACUAAGAGGCUGCAACCUGACGCCCUCUGGGAGGACCUUAGCCUGCAGACACAUUUUCUUUGGGCUUCAUCGUACUCACAUUUUCAAAAAUGAAUUUGUGUCUUUUUUGAGAUUUUAUAUUUUAAAAAUCUGGACUGCCACCUAUUGUGAAGCUAUCAUGAAAUCUGGCACCCUUAGGCCCUCACUUCUACAUGGCAGCGGCUGGCGGGGGCUGAGUAGCGACUGUCCCCUUUUAAGGGGGCAUGUCCUCUCCAGUUGGCCAGUGUCCCCACCCAGUCAAAUUCCCUCAUUUUGUUACCUGCCAGACCCUGGAGGAACGUGAGUUUGCAACCUGCAUUAAUUUCAAGUUCUCACUUAACUAGAAAAUUCAGUUAUUCAACACAUGCCUUUUCCUAGACACUCAGGUUAGGGAUAUAAUUUUACCAGAAUACACACGAAAAGCAUCCUUCCUAAGAAUUUACCGGUUCAAAGAACAGUACAUGUGUGCUUUGGUUUUGUUUUGCCAUGUUUGUAAAAGUGGCCAUCAUGGCAAACAGUACAGUGGAGCAGCUCAACCGUGAGGUGAUACACGAGGCCGCCAAGGGAUAGCUGGUAUUCGUACACGGCCAUGCGGCAAUGCUGCCAAACGGAUUUGCUGAGAAGGCAGUUAUCUGUGCCUUCUAAUUAAAGAGCUUGAUUUAAAAAAAAAAAAAAAAAAAAAAGGUGCAUCUGGCUAGCUGCCUAUUGUCACGGUGAAUUUUUAUGCACAUUUUCCCUCUU